GUACUUGGUGUUACUGCGAAGGGGGGACGGAGAAGGCUAUGUUGGCCGGGCGACGGUUGUCCCGGUUUAAGCGUGUAGGUGUGUGUUCCAGGUAAAUCCGGUUCACUUUAACACUGAGGCGUGACGACGAGGCACUACGGUGCUGAAGCAACAAAUGCCCUGCUUCCAGGAAAAGCCUCUAAGCAUCAGGUAACACGAAAUCGUACCCCAAACCGACACAGGUGGUCAGGUAGAGAAUACCAAGGCGCUUGAGAGAACUCGGGUGAAGGAACUAGGCAAAAUGGUGCCGUAACUUCGGGAGAAGGCACGCUGACACGUAGGUGAAGUGAUUUACUCAUGGAGCUGAAGUCAGUCGAAGAUACCAGCUGGCUGCAACUGUUUAUUAAAAACACAGCACUGUGCAAACACGAAAGUGGACGUAUACGGUGUGACGCCUGCCCGGUGCCGGAAGGUUAAUUGAUGGGGUCAGCGUAAGCGAAGCUCCUGAUCGAAGCCCCGGUAAACGGCGGCCGUAACUAUAACGGUCCUAAGGUAGCGAAAUUCCUUGUCGGGUAAGUUCCGACCUGCACGAAUGGCGUAAUGAUGGCCAGGCUGUCUCCACCCGAGACUCAGUGAAAUUGAACUCGCUGUGAAGAUGCAGUGUACCCGCGGCAAGACGGAAAGACCCCGUGAACCUUUACUAUAGCUUGACACUGAACAUUGAGCCUUGAUGUGUAGGAUAGGUGGGAGGCUUUGAAGUGUGGACGCCAGUCUGCAUGGAGCCGACCUUGAAAUACCACCCUUUAAUGUUUGAUGUUCUAACGUGGACCCGUAAUCCGGGUUGCGGACAGUGUCUGGUGGGUAGUUUGACUGGGGCGGUCUCCUCCUAAAGAGUAACGGAGGAGCACGAAGGUUGGCUAAUCCUGGUCGGACAUCAGGAGGUUAGUGCAAUGGCAUAAGCCAGCUUGACUGCGAGCGUGACGGCGCGAGCAGGUGCGAAAGCAGGUCAUAGUGAUCCGGUGGUUCUGAAUGGAAGGGCCAUCGCUCAACGGAUAAAAGGUACUCCGGGGAUAACAGGCUGAUACCGCCCAAGAGUUCAUAUCGACGGCGGUGUUUGGCACCUCGAUGUCGGCUCAUCACAUCCUGGGGCUGAAGUAGGUCCCAAGGGUAUGGCUGUUCGCCAUUUAAAGUGGUACGCGAGCUGGGUUUAGAACGUCGUGAGACAGUUCGGUCCCUAUCUGCCGUGGGCGCUGGAGAACUGAGGGGGGCUGCUCCUAGUACGAGAGGACCGGAGUGGACGCAUCACUGGUGUUCGGGUUGUCAUGCCAAUGGCACUGCCCGGUAGCUAAAUGCGGAAGAGAUAAGUGCUGAAAGCAUCUAA
rnacentral:rRNA from 1 species